GCAAGCAUGACAUAGUGGUUUGAGUGUUGGGCUAUAACUCCAGGGUUUGACCAAGGUUCAAAUCCCUGCUCAGGAA